rnacentral:rRNA from 1 species
AGACGAGCCGUCCAAACGUUAUUCGGAAUUACUGGGCUUAAAGGGUGCGUAGGCGGCCCUGUAAGUUGGGUGUGAAAUCCCUCGGCUUAACCGAGGAAUUGCGCCCAAUACUGCAGGGCUAGAGGAAGAUAGAGGUGAGCGGAACUUGUGGUGGAGCGGUGAAAUGCGUUGAUAUCACAAGGAACACCUGUGGCGAAAGCGGCUCACUGGGUCUUUUCUGACGCUGAGGCACGAAAGCUGGGGGAGCGAACGGGAUUAGAUACCCCGGUAGUCCCAGCUGUAAACGAUGAGCACUAGACCGAAGAACCCCCCAUAGUUUUCCGGUCGUAGCGAAAGUGUUAAGUGCUCCGCCUGGGGAGUAUGGUCGCAAGGCUGAA